rnacentral:rRNA from 1 species
ACUGCUCAGUAACACGUGGACAACCUACCCUGAGGAGAGGGAUAACCCCGGAAAACUGGGGAUAAUACCUCAUAGACCAGGGAUGCUGGAAUGCUUCCUGGUCCAAAGGUCCGCCGCCUCAGGAUGGGUCUGCGGCCGAUUAGGUUGUUGUUGGGGUAACGGCCCAACAAGCCUUUGAUCGGUACGGGUUGUGGGAGCAAGAGCCCGGAGAUGGAUUCUGAGACACGAAUCCAGGCCCUACGGGGUGCAGCAGGCGCGAAAACUUUACAAUGCUGGCAACAGCGAUAAGGGGACCUCGAGUGCCAGGAUACAAUCUUGGCUGUCGUAAUGCCUAAAAAGCAUUGCAUAGCAAGGGCCGGGCAAGACCGGUGCCAGCCGCCGCGGUAACACCGGCGGCUCGAGUGGUAACCGCUAUUAUUGGGUCUAAAGGGUCUGUAGCCGGCCGGAUAAGUCUUUUGGGAAAUCUGGCAGCUCAACUGUCAGGCUUUCAGGAGAUACUGUCUGGCUCGAGGCCGGGAGAGGUGAGAGGUACUUCAGGGGUAGGGGUGAAAUCUUGUAAUCCUUGAAGGACCACCAGUGGCGAAGGCGUCUCACCAGAACGGACCUGACGGCAAGGGACGAAAGCUAGGGGCACGAACCGGAUUAGAUACCCGGGUAGUCCUAGCCGUAAACGAUACUCGCUAGGUGUCAGCCACGGUGCGACCGUGGUUGGUGCCGUAGGGAAGCCGUGAAGCGAGCCACCUGGGAAGUACGGCCGCAAGGCUGAAACUUAAAGGAAUUGGCGGGGGAG